AUGAUCAACAAGAGGAUAUUCACGGUCCGAUGGAAUAAACACCCCAAAACUGUUUGGCUCGAGCAUGCAUGUCAGAAGGAAGCAGAUCGGGUGGACGCAAAGGCCCGCCUCGUCUUGUCAAGAUCCGUGCCGCUCGACAGCCUCCUCGUCGCCGGCGCACCGCCCUUGACCGCGGCGUCCCCCGUCUCCACGUCUACGCGCACCUCGGCCUCGGCGUCGUCGUCCGGCGCCUGGACGUCCGCGCGGCACAGCGGGCACGUGGAGUUCCCGCGGAACCACGCAUCGAUGCACCCCACGUGGAACCGGUGGCCGCACCGCGGCAGCGCGCGCGCCUCCUCCCGGCGCUCGAGCCCCGACGCCGUCCCCGGCGUCGUCGAGGACUUGUCAAAGAAACUCCCAGUUCACUCGAUCGUUCGCCUUCUCAAAGUCUAA
rnacentral:rRNA from 1 species